AACGAACGCUGGCGGCAGGCCUAACACAUGCAAGUCGAACGCACCGCAAGGUGAGUGGCGCACGGGUGAGUAACACGUGGGAAUGUACCCUUUGGUUCGGAAUAACGUUUGGAAACGAACGCUAAUACCGGAUGAGCCCUGUGGGGGAAAGAUUUAUCACCAAAGGAGCAGCCCGCGUCUGAUUAGCUAGUUGGUGGGGUAAAGGCCUACCAAGGCGACGAUCAGUAGCUGGUCUGAGAGGAUGAUCAGCCACACUGGGACUGAGACACGGCCCAGACUCCUACGGGAGGCAGCAGUGGGGAAUAUUGGACAAUGGGCGCAAGCCUGAUCCAGCCAUGCCGCGUGAGUGAUGAAGGCCUUCGGGUUGUAAAGCUCUUUCGCACACGACGAUGAUGACGGUAGUGUGAGAAGAAGCCCCGGCUAACUUCGUGCCAGCCGCCGCUGUAAAAC
rnacentral:rRNA from 1 species